UGAACCAAGGUGAUAUAUGCAGAGACAGAA
rnacentral:piRNA from 1 species